rnacentral:rRNA from 1 species
UACGUAGGGUGCAAGCGUUGUCCGGAAUUACUGGGUGUAAAGGGUCCGCAGGCGGGCAGACAAGUCGAUGGUGAAAUCCCGUGGCUCAACCACGGAACUGCCGUUGAUACUGUCUGUCUUGAAUUCGAGAGAGGAUGAUGGAAUUCAUGGUGUAGCGGUGAAAUGCGUAGAGAUCAUGAAGAACACCGGAAGCGAAGGCGGUCAUCUGGCUCGAUAUUGACGCUCAGGGACGAAAGCGUGGGGAG